UCCUCUGUAGUUCAGUCGGUAGAACGGCGGACUGUUAAUCCGUAUGUCACUGGUUCAAGUCCAGUCAGAGGAG
rfam:Pragia fontium strain 24613, complete genome.